GAUGAAGAACGUAGCGAAAUGCGAUAAGUAAUGUGAAUUGCAGAAUUCAGUGAAUCAUCGAAUCUUUGAACGCACCUUGCGCCCCUUGGUUAUUCCAAAGGGCAUGCCUGUCUGAGCGUCAUUUCAACCCUCAUGCCCCUAGGGCGUGGUGUUGGGGAUCGGCCAAAGCCCGCGAGGGACGGCCGGCCCCUAAAUCUAGUGGCGGACCCGUCGUGGCCUCCUCUGCGAAGUAGUGAUAUUCCGCAUCGGAGAGCGAUGAGCCCCUGCCGUUAAACCCCCAACUUUCCAAGGUUGACCUCAGAUCAGGUAGGAAUACCCGCUGAACUUAAGCAUAUCAAUAAGCGGAGGA
rnacentral:misc_RNA from 1 species